rnacentral:rRNA from 1 species
GUGGAGCAUGUGGUUUAAUUCGAUGUAACGCGAAGAACCUUACCACUCCUUGACAUCCAGAGAAUUCGCUAGAGAUAGCUUAGUGCCUUCGGGAACUCUGAGACAGGUGCUGCAUGGCUGUCGUCAGCUCGUGUUGUGAAAUGUUGGGUUAAGUCCCGUAACGAGCGCAACCCUUGUCCUUAUUUGCCAGCACGUAAUGGCGGGAACUCUAAGGAGACUGCCGGUGAUAAACCGGAGGAAGGUGGGGACGACGUCAAGUCAUCAUGGCCCUUACGGGAUGGGCUACACACGUGCUACAAUGGCAGGUACAGAGGGCAGCAAUACCGCGAGGUGGAGCGAAUCCCACAAAGCUUGUCGUAGUCCGGAUUGGAGUCUGCAACUCGACUCCAUGAAGUCGGAAUCGCUAGUAAUCGUAGAUCAGAAUGCUACGGUGAAUACGUUCCCGGGCCUUGUACACACCGCCCGU